UACGUAGGGGGCUAGCGUUGUCCGGAAUCAUUGGGCGUAAAGCGCGUGUAGGCGGUUCGGUAAGUCCGCUGUGAAAGUCCAGGGCUCAACCCUGGGAUGCCGGUGGAUACUGUCGAGCUAGAGUACGGAAGAGGCGAGUGGAAUUCCUGGUGUAGCGGUGAAAUGCGCAGAUAUCAGGAAGAACACCAAUGGCGAAGGCAGCUCUCUGGGACGGUACUGACGCUGAGACGCGAAAGCGUGGGGAGCGAACAGG
rnacentral:rRNA from 1 species